rnacentral:rRNA from 7 species
GAUCAAGUGUCAAAAGGGCAUUUGGUGGAUGCCUUGGCAUGCACAGGCGAUGAAGGACGUGAUACGCUGCGAUAAGCCGUGGGGAGCUGCGAAUAAGCUU